UAGGGAAUCUUCGGCAAUGGGGGCAACCCUGACCGAGCAACGCCGCGUGAGUGAAGAAGGUUUUCGGAUCGUAAAACUCUGUUGUUAGAGAAGAAUGUGUAGGAGAAGUAAAAAGUUCUUACAGUGACGGUAUCUAACCAGAAAGGGACGGCUAACUACGUGCCAGCAGCCGCGGUAAUACGUAGGUCCCAAGCGUUGUCCGGAUUUAUUGGGCGUAAAGCGAGCGCAGGUGGUUUAAUAAGUCUGAUGUAAAAAGGCAGUGGCUC
rnacentral:rRNA from 1 species